AUUGAACGCUGGCGGCAGGCCUAACACAUGCAAGUCGAACGAGUGGCGGACGGGUGAGUAAUGUCUGGGAAACUGCCUGAUGGAGGGGGAUAACUACUGGAAACGGUAGCUAAUACCCAUACCAUCGGGUGUGGCCAGAUGGGAUUAGCUAGUGGGGGGGGUAAAGGUUCACCUAGGCGACGAUCCCUAGCUGGUCUGAGAGGAUGACCAGCAACACGGGAACUGAGACACGGUCCAGACUCGUAGGGGAGGAAGCAGUGGGGAAUAUUGCACAAUGGGCGCAAUCCUGAUAAAGCCAUGCCGCGUGUAUGAGGAAGGCCUUCGGGUUGUAAAGUCCUUUCAGCGGGGAGGCGUUACCCGCAGAAGAAGCACCGGCUAACUCCGUGCCAGCAGCCGCGGUAAUUC
rnacentral:rRNA from 1 species